rnacentral:hammerhead_ribozyme from 1 species
GCACUGCUGACGAGUCCCAUAGUGGGACGAAACGGCCGUCCAGUGC